CCAGCCGUAAACUAUGAACACUAGGUGUGGAGGGUAUCGACCCCCUCCGUGCCGCAGCUAACGCAAUAAGUGUUCCGCCUGGGGAGUACGGCCGCAAGGCUAAAACUCAAAGGAAUUGACGGGGGCCCGCACAAGCGGUGGAGCAUGUGGUUUAAUUCGAUGCAACGCGAAGAACCUUACCAGGGCUUGACAUCCCCCGACGCGUAUGGAAACAUGCGUUCGCCCUUCGGGGCGCGGGGAGACAGGUGG
rnacentral:rRNA from 1 species